GACGAACGCUGGCGGCGUGCUUAACACAUGCAAGUCGAACGGAAAGGCCCUGCUUUUGUUGUGUGUUCGAGUUGCUAACGGGUGAGUAACACGUGUGUAACCUGCCCUUUCCUUUCGCAUAUCUUCAGUAAACUGGGGCUACUACCGGUUAUUAGCUCCUGCUCCAUGGUGGGGUUUGUAUAGUUUCGGCGGUUGGGGAUGGACUCGGGGCUUAUCAGACUGUUGGUGGGGUUGUUGCUUACCUAGGCUUUGACGGGUAGCCGGCCUGAGAGGGUGACCGGCGACAUUGGGAAUGAGAUAAGGGGCAGAAGCAUAGGGGAGGAAGGAGUGGGGAAUAGUGGACAAAGGGAGGAAGGCUGAGGCAGCGACGACGCGUGCGGGAUGGCGGACUUCGGGUUGUAAAGCGGUUUCGCCUUUGACGGAGCGGGAGUGACGGUAAUGGGUAAAGAAGCACCGGCUAACUACGUG
rnacentral:rRNA from 1 species